UCCGCGCCGUAGCUAACGCAUUAAGUGCCCCGCCUGGGGAGUACGGCCGCAAGGCUAAAACUCAAAGGAAUUGACGGGGGCCCGCACAAGCGGCGGAGCAUGCGGAUUAAUUCGAUGCAACGCGAAGAACCUUACCAAGGCUUGACAUGCAUUAGAUCGCGUCAGAGGUGGCGUUUCCCUUCGGGGCUGGUGUACAGGUGGUGCAUGGUUGUCGUCAGCUCGUGUCGUGAGAUGUUGGGUUAAGUCCCGCAACGAGCGCAACCCUCGUUCUAUGUUGCCAGCGGUUCGGCCGGGGACUCAUAGGAGACUGCCGGGGUCAACUCGGAGGAAGGUGGGGAUGACGUCAAAUCAUCAUGCCCCUUAUGUCUUGGGCUUCACGCAUGCUACAAUGGCCGGUACAGAGGGUUGCGAUACUGUGAGGUGGAGCUAAUCCCUUAAAGCCGGUCUCAGUUCGGAUUGGGGUCUGCAACUCGACCCCAUGAAGUCGGAGUCGCUAGUAAUCGCAGAUCAGCAACGCUGCGGUGAAUACGUUCCCGGGCCUUGUACACACCGCCCGUCAAGUCACGAAAGUUGGUAACACCCGA
rnacentral:rRNA from 1 species